CAUCCGACUCCCUCUCUCUCCGGACGCCGCUGGAACUCCAAUCCGCACCAAAAUUUCCAGAUUUUCUCCUCUUCAUUCCCUCUACCCAUUUCUCCAACCAAAAUCAUGAGAUUUGGCCAUUCAAUCCUCCAAAAACCCUAGAACCCGAAGCCAAUUUGGGGGUUUUUGUGAUUUCUUCAUUCUAAGUUCAAAUCAAGGUAAUCUUCCUCCUAAUCUAACCUCUAUUCAUCUGAUCUAUACUUAUUUCAUCUCAAAUUCAAGUUUUUAAUUUUGAUUUGUGAUUUUGGUGCAUGAACCCGAUUUUCCCUUAAACCAAGAGGCUAGGCUACAGGUUUGGCAAGGAUUUGUGGUGAAGAAGACUAAGGAGGAGGAAAGGCCGUGAGUUUUGGAGAAGAAAGGGUAAGGAAUGGAUUUUGGACAAACCCUAGAAUUUUUGGAAUCUAUUUUGUUGAUUUUGAUUUUGUUGAGCUAUUUUUGUUGGUGGAAAAUUAUGAAAAUUGGAUAUUUGAGGAGGGUUUAAUUAGUAGGAAUUUAUUGGUUUAAUUUUUAAAGUAUUGGAAAUUGGUAUUGAAGAUUUUGGUG